GUGACUUUGACAACCUUCCCAUUAAUAGGUGAGGUCUGUGCCUAUUUCCCUUGAAUCUGGGCAGACUUGUGACUAGAGUGGAAGCAAUGCUAUGUGACUUCUGGGGAUAGAUUUAAAAACGGCCAUACACAUUCUGCCUGUUUCUCUUAGGAUGCUCACUCACUCUUGGCAUAUAGCCACCAUACUGUAAGGAAGCCCAAGCAGCCACAUAGAGGCCCAGCUGAGGUUCCAGCUGACAGCUGGCAUCAACACACCAAGCAUAAUAUCACCGCAGUGUGGAGAAUGGGCUGUAGAUUUCAGUGGACCCAUCACAACCAAAGAACUACUGCAAGAUGGGAAACGGUCUCGAGAGAACAAGAUGACCUUUUCAUACAUGACCAGUAGAAGAUGGAAAUGCAUUUUAUAUGAGUAGUCUUCCCAUUGAUCAGGAUUCUAUCAAGGACCAUCUAGUCGUUAACUGGAGCAUCCCAAAUGCAUGAUUGUUAUUUGGCAAAUACACACCACAAUGGCAUAGUGGACAGCAUCUGAUUUGAUUGGUCAGUGACCCAAUGAAUAGUUUUGAUGACCUCUAUGUAUAUGUAUCUAUUUACAUUUACCUUACGUUUAUAUUGUGCUUUUUCAUUUUUUAAAACUUGUUUUCAAAGCUAAACU